AUUGAACGCUGGCGGCAGGCCUAACACAUGCAAGUCGGACGGUAGCACAGAGGAGCUUGCUCCUCGGGUGACGAGUGGCGGACGGGUGAGUAAUGUCUGGGAAACUGCCCGAUGGAGGGGGAUAACUACUGGAAACGGUAGCUAAUACCGCAUAACGUCGCAAGACCAAAGUGGGGGACCUUCGGGCCUCACACCAUCGGAUGUGCCCAGAUGGGAUUAGCUGGUAGGCGGGGUAACGGCCCACCUAGGCGACGAUCCCUAGCUGGUCUGAGAGGAUGACCAGCCACACUGGAACGGAGACACGGUCCAGACUCCUACGGGAGGCAGCAGUGGGGAAUAUUGCACAAUGGGCGCAAGCCUGAUGCAGCCAUGCCGCGUGUAUGAAGAAGGCCUUCGGUUUGUAAAGUACUUUCAGCGGGGAGGAAGGUGCUGAGGUUAAUAAGCUCAGCAAUUGACGUUACCCGCAGAAGAAGCACCGGCUAACUCCGUGCCAGCCGCCGCAGUAA
rnacentral:rRNA from 1 species